rnacentral:rRNA from 1 species
GGUUCCUACGGGAGGCAGCAGUGGGGAAUAUUGCGCAAUGGGCGGAAGCCUGACGCAGCGACGCCGCGUGAGGGAUGAAGGUCUUCGGAUCGUAAACCUCUGUCAGCAGGGAAGAACGGUCACUGUGCUAAUCAGCAGUGAAUUGACGGUACCUGCAAAGGAAGCACCGGCUAACUCCGUGCCAGCAGCCGCGGUAAUACGGAGGGGGCGAGCGUUAAUCGGAAUCACUGGGCGUAAAGAGCGCGUAGGCGGGAUAGC